GAGGGUAUAGCUCAGAGGUAAAGUGCAUGCUUAGCGUGCACGAGGUCCUGGGUUCAAUCCCCACUGCCGCCA
rnacentral:tRNA from 1 species